GUGAGGAAUAUUGGUCAAUGGACGAGAGUCUGAACCAGCCAAGUCGCGUGAAGGAAGACGGUUCUAUGAAUUGUAAACUUCUUUUGUGCAGGAAUAAAGUGGGUUACGUGUAACCUUUUGUAUGUACUGUACGAAUAAGGAUCGGCUAACUCCGUGCCAGCAGCCGCGGUAAUACGGAGGAUCCGAGCGUUAUCCGGAUUUCUUGGGUUUAAAGGGUGCGUAGGUGGAUUGAUAAGUCAGCGGUGAAAGUUUGCAGCUUAACUGUAAAAUUGCCGUUGAAACUGUCGGUCUUGAGUGCAAAUGAGGUAGGCGGAAUGUGUUGUGUAGCGGUGAAAUGCUUAGAUAUAACACAGAACUCCGAUUGCGAAGGCAGCUUACUGGGAUGCAACUGACACUGAUGCACGAAAGCGUGGGUAUCAAACAGGAUUAGAAACCCCUGUAGUCC
rnacentral:rRNA from 1 species